rnacentral:ncRNA from 1 species
GGUCUUCAGGGCAGGGUGAAAUUCCCGACCGGCGGUAAAGUCCGCGAGCGCUUAUGCGCUGAACCGGUUUGAUUCCGGUACCGACAGUAAAGUCUGGAUGGAAGAAGACG